ACAAGUGGAUCUUGGGUGUGGCUUUCCACCGCUGGAGACAGCUUUUGACAAGUAAAGAGAUGCUGAUGCUGAGCUCGCAACUUUCUCACACCAAGACUGGACCUGAGCCGGUACAGACACCACUUCCACCUGUCCCACCACACCAACAGCAGAGUGUACAGACACUGUGAGGAAGGUCUAGUAUCUGCAGAUGGAGCUGUGUGCGCCCACCACCUUUGAAACUGAUGGGAGCUUCCUGCAUAACUUGCACCUGACUGAGCUACUAAUAAAACGAUGUGAUGUCUCCUUCCACCUGCCUCAACUCCUUGAAGACCCCAAAAGGCAAAUAGUAGAGCAGUGGAAAGAUGUUGAUG